rnacentral:rRNA from 1 species
GAUGAGAAUGUGCCUUCGGGAACCGUGAGACAGGUGCUGCAUGGCUGUCGUCAGCUCGUGUUGUGAAAUGUUGGGUUAAGUCCCGCAACGAGCGCAACCCUUAUCCUUUGUUGCCAGCGGUCCGGCCGGGAACUCAAAGGAGACUGCCAGUGAUAAACUGGAGGAAGGUGGGGAUGACGUCAAGUCAUCAUGGCCCUUACGACCAGGGCUACACACGUGCUACAAUGGCGCAUACAAAGAGAAGCGACCUCGCGAGAGCAAGCGGACCUCAUAAAGUGCGUCGUAGUCCGGAUUGGAGUCUGCAACUCGACUCCAUGAAGUCGGAAUCGCUAGUAAUCGUGGAUCAGAAUGCCACGGUGAAUACGUUCCCGGGCCUUGUACACACCGCCCGUCACACCAUGGGAGUGGGUUGCAAAAGAAGUAGGUAGCUUAACCUUCGGGAGGGCGCUUACCACUUUGUGAUUCAUGACUGGGGUGAAGUCGUAACAAGGUAACCGUAGGGGAACCUGCGGUUGGAUC